CCUACGGGAGGCAGCAGUGGGGAAUAUUGCGCAAUGGGCGAAAGCCUGACGCAGCGACGCCGCGUGCGGGAUGAAGGUCUUAGGAUCGUAAACCUCUGUCAGCAGGGAAGAACGGUCACUGUGCUAAUCAGCAGUGAAUUGACGGUACCUGCAAAGGAAGCACAGGCUAACUCCGUGCCAGCAGCCGCGGUAAUACGGAGGGUGCGAGCGUUAAUCGGAAUUACUGGGCGUAAAGCGCUCGUAGGCGGUAUGUCAAGUCAAGGGUGAAAUCUCCGCGCUCAACGUGGGAACUGCCUUUGAAACUGGCAAACUGGAGUGUGUGAGAGGAUAGUGGAAUGCCAGGUGUAGGGGUGAAAUCCGGAGAGAUCUGGAGGAACAUCAGUGGCGAAGGCGACUAUCUGGCACAUAACUGACGCUGAGGAGCGAAAGCGUGGGUAGCAAACAGGAUUAGAUACCCGAGUAGUC
rnacentral:rRNA from 1 species